GUCCACGCCGUAAACGAUGUCUACUAGCCGUUGGGUUCCUUGAGGACUUAGUGGCGCAGCUAACGCAAUAAGUAGACCGCCUGGGGAGUACGGUCGCAAGAUUAAACUCAAAUGAAUUGACGGGGCCCGCACAAGCGGUGGAGCAUGUGGUUUAAUUCGACGCAACGCGAAGAACCUUACCAGGUCUUGACAUCCAGAGAACUUUCCAGAGAUGGAUUGGUGCCUUCGGGAGCUCUGAGACAGGUGCUGCAUGGCUGUCGU
rnacentral:rRNA from 1 species